rnacentral:rRNA from 1 species
CCUACGGGAGGCAGCAGUGAGGAAUAUUGGUCAAUGGCCGGAAGGCUGAACCAGCCAAGCCGCGUGAAGGACGAAGGUGCCAAGCAUUGUAAACUUCUUUUGUCAAGGGACAAAAUCAGGCUCGAGAGCCUGACCGAGGGUACUUGAAGAAAAAGCAUCGGCUAACUCCGUGCCAGCAGCCGCGGUAAUACGGAGGAUGCGAGCGUUAUCCGGAUUUAUUGGGUUUAAAGGGUGCGUAGGCGGGCUGUUAAGUCAGCGGUAAAAGCCCGGGGCUCAACCCCGGCGAGCCGUUGAAACUGGCUGUCGUGAGAUGUCGUGAGGUAUGCGGAAUGCGCAGUGUAGCGGUGAAAUGCUUAGAUAUUGCGAAGAACUCCGAUUGCGAAGGCAGCAUACCGGCGGCGAUCUGACGCUGAGGCACGAAAGCGUGGGUAUCGAACAGGAUUAGAUACCCCAGUAGUC